rnacentral:rRNA from 1 species
AUUGAACGCUGGCGGCAUGCCUUACACAUGCAAGUCGAACGGCAGCGCGGACUUCGGUCUGGCGGCGAGUGGCGAACGGGUGAGUAAUACAUCGGAACGUACCCUGUUGUGGGGGAUAACUAGUCGAAAGAUUAGCUAAUACCGCAUACGACCUGAGGGUGAAAGUGGGGGACCGCAAGGCCUCACGCAGCAGGAGCGGCCGAUGUCUGAUUAGCUAGUUGGUGGGGUAAAGGCCCACCAAGGCGACGAUCAGUAGCUGGUCUGAGAGGACGACCAGCCACACUGGGACUGAGACACGGCCCAGACUCCUACGGGAGGCAGCAGUGGGGAAUUUUGGACAAUGGGCGAAAGCCUGAUCCAGCAAUGCCG